rnacentral:ribozyme from 14 species
UUUUUUUUUUUUUUUUUUUUUUUUUUUUUUUUUCCUGGUGCAGGGACAUU